GAUCUUGACCCGACCCUUUUCCUGAAAACCCGGUCUGAGACUCGCUGGUCUCUGUAUCUGCCAACACACUUCCAUAGCUGCCGAAGAAAGAAGAAGACAGAAAGAGAGACGAGAUGGAGAAAGAAAGUGGUCGUGUACUUCAGGUAUAUAUCUUAUAUGGGUUGCUUUGCUUAGACAAGAGAGAGAGAAUGUUUGUUGUUGAAGCAGCCCCCUGACUCCACUGCCUCACCACACCACACU